GGAAGAAGGUCUCUCUCUCAGGAGAAGGACAGCAGCAAGUGGUGUCACAUUUAAUGUGCAGACAACCCAGACUCCAUCUCUGCAUUUCUGGAAGAAAAUGUCACCAUCACUUGAUAGACUAGUGAGGAAAUUGAUUACUCAUUAGCUUGAUAUCUACAGAAGCAAGAGAAAGUUCCUGAGCUCUACUUGGUAGAUGGAGUCCUUUCAAUGUUCAAGGGAAUGGAGACAUGCCCCAACAGAGAAGAACACUCAUUGAAUUCCCAGCACACACAUGGUGGCUCUCUACCAUCUGUAACUCCAGUUUAACUGGAACCAUAACUAUCUUCUGGCCUCCAGAUGCACCAGACACACAUGUUGUACAUAGACAUACAAGCUGGCAAAAUAACC